GAUGAACGCUAGCGGCAGGCUUAAUACAUGCAAGUCGAGGGGCAACAGGGGUAGCAAUACCUGCUGGCGACCGGCAAACGGGUGCGGAACACGUACAGAACCUUCCUUUAAGCGGGGGAUAGCCCAUAGAAAUGUGGAUUAAUACCCCAUAGUAAUGUUUGAUGGCAUCAUCAGAUAUUUAAAGAUUUAUCACUUAAAGAUGGCUGUGCGGCUGAUUAGGUAGNGGUUGAGGUAACGGCUCACCAAGCCAUCGAUCAGUAACUGGUGUGAGAGCACGACCAGUCACACGGGCACUGAGACACGGGCCCACUCCUACGGGAGGCAGCAGUAAGGAAUAUUGGUCAAUGGACGCAAGUCUGAACCAGCCAUGCCGCGUGAAGGAUGAA
rnacentral:rRNA from 1 species